rnacentral:rRNA from 1 species
CACGUAGGGGACGAGCGUUGUCCGGAUUCAUUGGGCGUAAAGCGCGCGUAGGCGGCUCGGAAAGUCGGUCGUGAAAUGCCGGGGCUCAACCCCGGGACUGCGUCCGAUACUCUCGAGCUGGAGGCAGGUAGGGGAGAUCGGAAUUCCUGGUGUAGCGGUGAAAUGCGCAGAUAUCAGGAGGAACACCGGUGGCGAAGGCGGGUCUCUGGGCCGAUACUGACGCUGGAGGAGCGAAAGCGUGGGGAGCGAACAGG